AGCAAUGGUUAUCAACUGUACUGCAGGAAUAGAAUGUAAGUUGUACAAAAUUGAGAUUGUGCUGGCAGCUGCAGAGAGGUAUUUUGGGUGUGUGAGACUUGACAUCAGAAGAGUUACAGGGUGGGUUAAGUGGUGGUGUCCCAUCCUUUCAGGUUGUUGGCAUGAGGUAGGACGAAAUGUGUUGUUAUGAGUUAAAAACAUUUAGACUACGUUACCCAGCAGGCUAUGCGGAUGGUUAAGGAAUGCCUUGCAUGGCUAAACAUGAAGUUUUCUAGCUGAAGUAUAUGUUCAUUAAAAGUAGUUAAACCUACGCCCCAGUAUGUCAUUAUAUAAGGAACAAACAUAACAUGGUGUCAGAUUGGUUGUCGCUAUGACAAAGAGAAAAGAAAGGAGUAACUGCAAAUUUCCGCGACGAAAAUGGAACAUUCUACCACAAGUCAAGUGACGUGAGUAGUCGAAGAUGCUAGCUUGCAAGAGCGAGGACAACGAGCCGCAGCAGCGAGAGUGACAGCAGCGAGAGGGAGGCUGCAUUGGAAUCUGUUGACGAGCAAGUUGAUGAGCAACAUACUGAAGAUGGCUGAAGGAGCAAGAGGUUAGAACUUCAAGCUGGCUCUCUAAGGCGCUGCCAUAAAGCGCUCGGCGGACAUGGUGGCCCUUCCAUUUUCAAUGAAGCCUAGGCAGUGGUGAUAUUCAUUCCCAGGAAAAUGACCGUGUUCGAGAGCAUCAAAGUGACUGCCGACUGACGGAUUAACAAAUUACCUUGCAUCAUAAAUAACAACUCAUUAUUUUUUUCUUUUCUGCUACAUAUACAGUACCAGUCAAAAGUUUGGAC